GAAAAUUUGGGGCAAUUUUGGGUGAAUUCGGGGCAGUUCUGAGUGAAUUUUGCCCAUUUUGGAUGAAUUUUGGCCGAUUUGGGGGUAGAACUGGAGCCAUUUGGGGUGAAUUUGGGGCACUUUCAGUUGCAAAAUCGAGGCAGAUUUGGGUGAAUUUGGGGCAGUUUUGGGUAAAUCUGGGGCACUUUCAGUUACAAAAACGGGACAGUUUUGGGUACAAAUUCGGGGCUGUUUGGGUCAUUCCGGGGCCGUUUUGUGGGAUUUUUUUGGGGGAUUUUUUGGGGAUUUUUUGGGGGAUUUUUUUGGGUUUUUUUUUCACGGCGGGGGCAGGGCCAGCAGGGGGGGCAGCAGCUCGGGGGUCCCAGCCCCCCGCCCUCGGCGGUGUUUGCAUUUCUCAGGCCGCUGCACGGAAGUAUUUGCUCUUGAUGUCCCAAAAACCGAUCCCGUAGUCAA
rnacentral:lncRNA from 1 species